UACGGAGGGUGCAAGCGUUAUCCGGAUUCACUGGGUUUAAAGGGUGCGUAGGUGGAUCGGUAAGUCCGUGGUGAAAUCCCCGAGCUUAACUCGGGAACUGCCGUGGAUACUAUCGAUCUUGAAUGCUGUGGAGGUAAGCGGAAUAUGUCAUGUAGCGGUGAAAUGCUCAGAUAUGACAUAGAACACCAAUAGCGAAGGCAGCUUGCUACACAGUAAUUGACACUCAGGCACGAAAGCGUGGGGAGCAAACAGG
rnacentral:rRNA from 1 species